UACCUGGUUGAUCCUGCCAGUAGCAUAUGCUUGUCUCAAAGAUUAAGCCAUGCAUGUCUAAGUACAAGCCGCUAGUACGGCGAAACCGCGAAUGGCUCAAUAAAUCAGUUAUGGUUCCUUAGAUGCACGAUACAUUACUCGGAUAACUGUGGUAAUUCUAGAGCUAAUACGUGAACGCGAGCCCCGACUUCGGAAAGGGCGGUCUUAUUAGAGCAAAGCCAGUGGGGUCGCGAGACCCCUCACACAAUUGAUGAAUCUGAAUAACACAAACCAGAUCGCACGGUCCUCGAACCGGCGACACAUCUUUCAAAUGUCUGCCUUAUCACACUGUCGAUGGGAUGUUAUGCGCCUCCCAUGGUUGCAACGGGUAACGGGGAAUCGGGGUUCGAUUCCGGAGAGGGAGCCUGAGAAACGGCUACCACAUCCAAGGAAGGCAGCAGGCGCGCAAAUUACCCACUCCCGGCACGGGGAGGUAGUGACGAAAAAUAGCGAUGCCUUUGACUUAUACAGUCUGGGUGAUUGGAAUGAGCACACUUUAAAUCCUUUAGCGAGGAACGAUUGGAGGGCAAGUCUGGUGCCAGCAGCCGCGGUAACUCCAGCUCCAAUAGCGUAUAUUAAAGUUGUUGCGGUUAAAAAGCUCGUAGUCUGAAUUCUUGGUGUCGGUGGGUCCCUCGGCCUCACGGGUCGAAGGGGCUCUGCGCCGGUCUUCCGGGUUUGGCUGUUUCGUCGGGUACGGUUUUUCGGAGCCGGUCUCGCGUCGCAUCUAGCCCGGUCGCGGCCGGUGCUUUGCACCGCACCAGUGCGGCAUGUCUGAGUGGGGUCUGCCCUUCAAAAGGUGGACCAUCGCUCCUGCCAAAUCUACUUUGAACAAAUUAGAGUGCUCAAAGCAGGCGUGUACUCGCCCGAAUACAAUAGCAUGGAAUAGAAAAAUAAGACCUCGUCUGUGUUUCCGCUGGCCUAACAGAAUCCGAGGUAAUGGUCAAUAGGGACGGACGGGGGCAUUCGUACUGCGGCGAUAGAGGUGAAAUUCUUGGACCGCCGCAAGACGAACGACAGCGAAGGCAUUUGCCAAGAAUGUCUUCAUUGAUCAAGAACGAAAGUUAGAGGUUCGAAGGCGAUCAGAUACCGCCCUAGUUCUAACCAUAAACGAUGCCAACUAUCCAUUCGCCUCGGCUUUUACAAAUUAGGCCAGGCGAGCGGACUCCUACCAAGGGAAACCCAAGUCUACGGGUUCCGGGGGAAGUAUGGUUGCAAAGCUGAAACUUAAAGGAAUUGACGGAAGGGCACCACCAGGAGUGGAGCCUGCGGCUUAAUUUGACUCAACACGGGAAAUCUCACCAGGCCCGGACACUGUAAUGAUUGACAGAUUGAGAGCUCUUUCUUUGAUUCGGUGGGUGGUGGUGCAUGGCCGUUCUUAGUUGGUGGAGCGAUUUGUCUGGUUAAUUCCGAUAACGAACGAGACUCUUUUACGUUAAGUAGGGUUCGGGUCCUAUCAGACCGUGCCGUCGUGGCCUCGCCGUUCGCGCGGUCGGGUCCGGCGCGCGGUCGUAUCAGGUCGAGGUUUGGCGCCGCGACUCGCGAGGGUCGCGGUCCGCCACAGCCGAGGCCAGUCCGAACCGACAUCUUCUUAGCUAGACAAGCGGUAUACAACCGCAUGAAAAAGAGCAAUAACAGGUCUGUGAUGCCCUUAGAUGUCCUGGGCCGCACGCGCGCUACACUGCGAGAAUCAGCGCGUCUCAAACUCCUUGCCUGAAAAGGCCGGGUAACCGCUGAACCUCUCGCGUGGUUGGGAUUGAGGACUGCAAUGAUCCUCAUGAACCAGGAAUCCCUAGUAGGCGCGGGUCACUAGCCCGCGUCGAUUACGUCCCUGCCCUUUGUACACACCGCCCGUCGCUACUACCGAUUGAAUGAUUUAGUGAGGUCUUCGGACGGCGGUUCGAGCCUGGUGCAAACUCGGGCUAGAGCUGCUGAAAGAUGGCCGAACUUGAUCAUUUAGAGGAAGUAAAAGUCGUAACAAGGUUUCCGUAGGUGAACCUGCAGAUGGAUCAUUA
rnacentral:rRNA from 1 species